UUUAGUAGACAGAAGCUUCGGUGGAAGAUUACUAAUGAGAGUGGCGAACGGGUGAGUAACGCGUGAGCAACCUGCCUAUGACAGUGGGGUAGCCUCGGGAAACCGGGAUUAAUACCGCAUAAAAUCGUAGAAACACAUGUUUUAACGGUCAAAGAUUUAUCGGUCAUAGAUGGGCUCGCGUCUGAUUAGCUAGUUGGUGAGAUAACAGCUCACCAAGGCGACGAUCAGUAGCCGGUCUGAGAGGAUGAACGGCCACAUUGGAACUGAGACACGGUCCAAACUCCUACGGGAGGCAGCAGUGGGGAAUAUUGCACAAUGGGGGAAACCCCGAUGCAGCGACGCCGCGUGAACGAAGAAGGUAUUCGUAUCGUAAAGUUCUGUCCUAUGGGAAGAUAAUGACGGUACCCUGUGAGGAAGCCCCGGCUAACUACGUGCCAGCAGCCGCGGUAAUACGUAGGGGGCUAGCGUUAUCCGGAUUUACUGGGCGUAAAGGGUGCGUAGGUGGUCUUUCAAGUCGGUGGUUAAAGGCUACGGCUCAACCGUAGUUAGCCUCCGAAACUGGAAGACUUGAGUGCAGGAGAGGAAAGUGGAAUUCCCAGUGUAGCGGUGAAAUGCGUAGAUAUUGGGAGGAACACCAGUAGCGAAGGCGGCUUUCUGGACUGCAACUGACACUGAGGCACGAAAGCGUGGGUAGCAAACAGGAUUAGAUACCCUGGUAGUCCACGCUGUAAACGAUGAGUACUAGGUGUCGGGGGUUACCCCCCUCGGUGCCGCAGCUACGCAUUAAGUACUCCGCCUGGGGAGUACC
rnacentral:rRNA from 1 species